rnacentral:rRNA from 1 species
UGGGGAAUAUUGCACAAUGGGCGCAAGCCUGAUGCAGCCAUGCCGCGUGUAUGAAGAAGGCCUUCGGGUUGUAAAGUACUUUCAGCGGGGAGGAAGGCGAUAAGGUUAAUAACCUUGUCGAUUGACGUUACCCGCAGAAGAAGCACCGGCUAACUCCGUGCCAGCAGCCGCGGUAAUACGGAGGGUGCAAGCGUUAAUCGGAAUUACUGGGCGUAAAGCGCACGCAGGCGGUCUGUCAAGUCGGAUGUGAAAUCCCCGGGCUCAACCUGGGAACUGCAUUCGAAACUGGCAGGCUAGAGUCUUGUAGAGGGGGGUAGAAUUCCAGGUGUAGCGGUGAAAUGCGUAGAGAUCUGGAGGAAUACCGGUGGCGAAGGCGGCCCCCUGGACAAAGACUAACGCUCAGGUGCGAAAGCGUGGGGAGCAAACA